UAUGGAGAGUUUGAUCCUGGCUCAGGACGAACGCUUGCGGCGUGCCUAAGAAAUGCAAGUCGAGCGAGGUUUAGGCUUCGGCCGAAAACCUAGCGGCGAACGGUCGCGUAACACGUAAGCAACCUGCCCUGGAGUGGGGGAUAGCCCGCCGAAAGGCGGAUUAAUACCGCAUGUGAAUGCUCUCUCGCAUGUGAGAGCAUUUAAAACAGCAAUGUGCUCCAGGAUGGGCUUGCGGCCUAUCAGCUAGUUGGUGAGGUAACGGCCCACCAAGGCGACGACGGGUAGCUGGUCUGAGAGGAUGGUCAGCCGGACUGGGACUGAGACACGGCCCAGACUCCUACGGGGGGCAGCAAUUAGGAAUCUUGCGCAAUGGGCGAAAGCCUGACG
rnacentral:rRNA from 1 species